rnacentral:rRNA from 1 species
GAUGAACGCUGGCGGCGUGCUUAACACAUGCAAGUCGAACGGAAAGGCUCCUGCUUGCAGGGGUACUCGAGUGGCGAACGGGUGAGUAACACGUGGGUGAUCUGCCCUGCACUUCGGGAUAAGCCUGGGAAACUGGGUCUAAUACCGGAUAGGACGAUGGUUUGGAUGCCAUUGUGGAAAGUUUUGCGGUGUGGGAUGAGCUCGCGGCCUAUCAGCUUGUUGGUGGGGUAAUGGCCUACCAAGGCGUCGACGGGUAGCCGGCCUGAGAGGGUGUACGGCCACAUUGGGACUGAGAGACGGCCCAGACUCCUACGGGAGGCAGCAGUGGGGAAUAUUGCACAAUGGGCGCAAGCCUGAUGCAGCGACGCCGCGUGGGGGAUGACGGCCUUCGGGUUGUAAACUCCUUUCGCUAGGGACGAAGCGCAAGUGACGGUACCUGGAGAAGAAGCACCGGCUAACUACGUG